CUCUCUCUCUCUCUCUCCCUCUCCUUCUUGUGUAUUCUCUCCUCUCAGGGCCACUGCUUUGAUGGUAUGUGGUGCACCACAAGCAGCUGAAGCUGCCAGCAUGAUCUGAUCUCUCUUUUUCUUUCUUCCAGAUCUUGGAUGAAGAAGAUGCAUAUCAGAUCAUGUUGCAGUUUCAUCUGCUGAUGGGAGCACCAGAAAACCCUACAACCCUACUCCUUUCAUCCCCCUAAAUCCCUCCUCAGAUUUCCUGAGAAACCCUAGAGAGAGAUUAGAGAUAGCAAAACGGUUGGUCUCCCUUGCUGAUUACUUCUAUCUUCUGGGCGCCCAUAAUUUCACCACUUCUUCUUUUUUUAUCAUGGUUUGUGGUUCUGAUACUGGUGUGAUCUCUCUCAUCUAUGUGACAUGGGGCUGUUUGGCAAGGGAGUGGAGAUGUGCGAAGGAAGAAGAAGGCAGCGGAAGAGAGAUUUCUCUUUGGUUUCUCACACAUGGUUACUGCUUUUGGCAUCCUGGCCUCGGGGGGUGAACCUUGCCAUCCUUCCCUGUGAGUUCUUAUUAUUGGACUUUCUUUCGCUUUCGAUCUUUAUAUAUUUUUGCUCUUUUAACUUGUAGCAUACUUCUCCUAUAACUGUUUCAUAAGGGCUUUCAACCUUGAAGUUACAUAUUUUAAAAAAGAAAAAUUAGUGGCAGUUUCAUAUCUACCUAAUGAUUUGAUCUAUUGUACGGAUUUUGACCUUUUGCUCGCCUUUUUGCUCUCAAGCUCUCUAUCUCCAUAUUCAUGUAUGGAUGGGGCAGCAUGGAUGCGCAUGUAAUCUAUUUCAUUUGUGGAUCUUUCACAUACAUGCUUGCAUUUUUCUACAAUAUUCCAUGCAUCAAUCUAGGGAAAUAUAGCUUAGAAUAUUUAUAGCUCAUCUCCGUCCCCCAUACAUGCAACCUGAAUCUGGAAGUUGAUUCUUUGGCUUCCUUUAUUUUCUAUUGAGGCUUUAAAAAUAGCCAAUGAACAUGGAGAUACAUGCGUUGUUACUGAAAGUUACAUCAACUUGUAUGAGAGAGUUGAUUUGACUUUGUGAAGUGCCGAUGUGAAACAUUUAAGACACCAAGCCUUGGAACAAAUAUCUGCUCUUUUUUCUUUUUCUUAUCAUGUCCUUCUAGGGUUAGGCAAGUAAAAGAAGAAGGUAGAGAUUGCAUCAAAGUCUCUUUUCCUUUUGGCUUCUUUCUUGGUACAUUCUCCUUGUAAUCUUUUUUAAGGCCUUACAAAGAAAUUUCCCUUUCCAGCAACUCUCUCUCUCUCCCCUCCCCCAAAAUUAAUUUAUAGGUAUACAAGUGUUGCUCUCUUCCUCUCCAGCUCAUGGAAGAGCCUUCCCUCACUUCAAUGCUCCUCAUUCAUGUUAGCUUGUUGGCAUCUCCAACCACCCUCCUAUUUCUCUCUCUUAGUUGUUGUGGUACUUUGUCACCUUAUAAUUUUCUUUCUUGGAAGCUUCAGGGACCAGAGAGUCCGAAUAUCUUUUUUUGAUUUAGUUCGUAUGGUACUCAUAUGGCCCUUAACGUCCAUGCCACGAGCGGAGGGCACAUGGAAGCUGUCCUGUUCAUUUAGUGUCUCUUUCCAUGCAGUUUAGAGUCUUGUUCUCAUGAAGUCCAAAACCCCUGCCGCCUUGCUUGACCUUAGCAUUAAAGUGGCCUUGUAAGGCUCCAAAGGUUGCCCUCUCGGCACUGGUUUCACCAAAAGGCCUUGUGUGGUGGUGGCUGGCUUGGGCAGCUAGGCAAAAGUGACGAGUUGAAAGGGAGACAUGAGAACAGUGGGGGAAACGGAGUCCUGAUGAUUAGGGUAAGGAAUCUCCUUUGGAGUAUAAGGCCUAAAAGAGCAAGGACUUUUCUUUUUAGUGAUUAAUAUCAAUAUUGUAUCUUAAUAUUUAUGGCACCUCCUUGAAAAAUUUUUAUAGGCUUACAUAAGAUAACUUAUAGAAUUUCUAUUAGAGUGUUCAUAGAAAUCCCACUCAUAAAACCAAGUCCUAUGAACUCAACAUCGUUUUUGCAUUGGCCUCUCCACAAGUAUAGACAACCGUUAUACAAGGCUAAAUUCUGUAUAGCAUCAGCAAGAGCAUCAUAUCUUAUGCUACGGAACUGAACAUAUCUGUGCAUGAGAAAGAAAUAACAUAGUGCAGAUGAAUUUACCAAAUCUUUUCAAUUCCUAUGAGUAGUUCCUAUUUAGUUAAUUAUAAGCCCACAAGAUUUUGUGCUCUCAGCGAAACAACUAAUAGCAUGAUGAAUGUUCGAAUAUUAUUUUCAUGUCCCAGUCCAUCGAAUGAAGAAUCCGGAGGUCAAGCAGCAGUAGUAGAUUCACUCAUAAGGGAUACAAAGGCAGGAGGUAAGAGCUAAGGUGGUAAAAGCAGGGCAGCAGAGCCCAGGCUGGUUGAUACCAUCAACUGACUCCAGCUUCUGGCGUGCUCAUGGGACCAGUGUACUGGUUUGCCGAAUCAAGAGCUUGUAUCAACAUCGGUAUAACGUUCCACACACAGAAUUAUCUCAUCACCAGCUAACAUGUGGCACAUGAAGAGUACCAGUUCACAGAAGGUAUGGUUUUGUUUAUACUGAUGUUUACGUUGCGGCAGAGUUUAUCUUUAAGUGAACUGCCUUUGCAGGAUAUGAAACAUCAGUAAUCAUAUUAUCUUACAAAAGUAAUGUGUUUUAGGAAUUCUAUGUGCAUGGUAGUGAGAUUGUAUGGACUUUAAGAGAUUUGAUCAGCGACCUAGAGCACUCCUUAUUUGAAGUUAUGGAAACUGUGUUUCAUGCUAUCUUCUAGGGACUCUUUUUAGGAUUUAAGCCAUGUUUCUGUAUUGUUAUAACUAACAACAAAGAUAACUUAAUUGUAAGAUAUCAUCCCAUAUAUGUUCAGUGAUUGGAGACUUCAGUUAUUUAAUUAUNNNNNNNNNNNNNNNNNNNNNNNNNNNNNNNNNGGGCCAAUGUGUGAAGUUGACAGCAAAACAGGCAGGUAUAUAUGAUCUCAGAGUUUCCAGCCAUAUACUUAGGUGUUCACCAGAGUCAAAUUGUUCAGAGGUUAAAUCAUAGAUAGAAUCAAAUUGUUCUAGGCUUUUUUGUUUGGGGCUGAAGCACUGACUUAUCACUAGUUUUGAACUAGUCUAGACAUUGACAUGCACUGAUAAAAGAGGAACAACCAUGACAUUAGUUGAGCUGAUCUGAACAUUAAUUUCUUCCACACUGGUUCAACUGCUUAACUUAUUGAUGAUAAUUUUACAAAUUUUUAUCAUAUGUGUCUUAAAGAGAAACAAGNNNNNNNNNNNNNNNNNNNNNNNNNNNNNNNNNNNNNNNNNNNNNNNNNNNNNNNNNNNNNNNNNNNNNNNNNNNNUUAUAUGUGAUGGUUCGGGAUAAACAAAACAUUGAAAUAAGCAAAUUACUUUUUAGGGGAAUCAAAGGAAUGAUUGAGUGGAAGUUAUCAACAUCCUAUGCAAUGAGCUGCUACAUAGCUAAUUGAUGGUGACAUCAAAUAUUUCACAGAACUUAUUGAAAUUAUUGCAUGGAUAAAUAGAUAUUGUAAUAAUGAGAAAGAAGAUAUUCUGGGGAAAAAAGAAAAAUCACACAUAAUGCAUAGUUAAAAACUAGUUAGGUUGGAGAAAUUGAUUAAACUUGCCUCCCACCCACCCACCCACCCCGCAAAGAAAAAAAAAAGGACACCCACGCAUCCAAAACAUAAAAAAAAAAAGAGAAAAGGAAAUGAAAGGAAAGUAGAAGAAGAAUGAGUUCGACAUAAUUACAAUUUUAAUAUAUUUGUCAAACAUUAAAGAUAGAAGUAGAUAGCAGAAACCUUCAUUUAGUAAUUGGUUAAAAGGACAAAGAUGAAGUAGUUGAGAGGGAUGAAUUACGGAGAGGUGAAGUACGAAUAUGCUUCAUAAUUAGAUUCUCUUUACUCACAGUAAAAUGCUCCCAAAGUUAUGGAGUUGGUAAAAUCUAUCUCAAACAGAAGUGAAAAUGAAAGGAAUAAAAGGAAAAUCAGGUGACCAAGAAAGCUAAUUGAGCCUAACUAUGUAUUUAUAUAAUUUCUGAUGGAGAUGAGCUUCUCUCCUCAACUUCAUAGUUCCUUUCUGUCACCAUUAUUUGUUUCUUUUUUUUCUUUUUUUUUCAGAAUAUGUGAUAAUACAUUGACAAAAAAAAGGCCGUGAAUAGAUAAUUGAAGGGUCUAUAAGAAUCAAGUAAACCUCUCUAAUUUACAUGUAGUUUAACAUCAUAACCUUGUUGGUUUGUCUCAACUUGCAAUUCCGACCCUCCCGGUCUCUAAAAGAAUAUAUAUAUAACUCCAUGUUUAGCAUUAACAAUACUUUCUUUUUAAAACCAUCGGAUAAUCUAAGAAUUUAAAAAAUAACACUUAAAAUCCUCCAAAUAUGUAACAAAUAACAAAAAUUACUAUGAACUAAAGAGGGGUAGGUUCUGUAUUUUUUCACAAAGGCUUGCCUACUUUUUGCAUAUUCUUAUUCCAAACAUAGCAGUAAUAACUUUAUGGUGAAUCAGCAAUUUAACUUACCUUUCUUAUGCAUGAAGAAGCGCUCCCUAUAAGAUCAAAUGACUAAACUUAUGAUAUCUGCAAACAAACUCUCAUCUUCCCCACAAGAUAGUAUUCCAUUUCAGAACAAAGACAUUGCUUCUCCAUGCAUACUAGUUCAAAACAAGUGCUAUAUAUCUCAUAUACUGGAAAUGUCAUCUACUUUUUUGGCUCAAGGCACCAUCUUGUAUUAGUUCUCCCUUGCUUCCUGCUUUAGUUUUUUAAUCACUUCACUUGUCAAGAAAAACAAAUAGCUAACAUUAUCUGAUACAUACUAUUGUGAGGUCAGCGAAGUACAUUUCUAGUUUGAGGAAGGAGACAAUCUCCAAGUUGAGGGACAAGAAUGAGAUGGAAUGCGAGGGGUCUGAUGGGCAUGGACCACUUCCUAAAGGACUCUGGUAGGUCUCGGUUGGUCGACAGCAACAGCUUAACCACAAUAUCUCAAGGAGAUGAUUCGCGGGCCACAAAAGCGUACCUUUUCUGUGAUUUUCCAAGGUUCUUAUUGUUUCCAAGUAAAGAUACAGCUGUGCUCCUCUUCCACUGUUCAUGGGAAAUAAGAGAGUAGAUGUAACGUCUUGUGCGUACAUGAGUAGCAUAUUAAUUGUGGAAAAGCGUUGGGUGAGACCGGAGAAAAGUCGCAUUAUUCCAUCUAACUUCUUUUUCUUUUGCAUUGAUGUUUUAUUUUUGUUAGAAAGAAGUGCAUAAGUUAUAAGGUGCUGCGUGACGAGAUAGCCUUCAGCCAAGACCAGUACUGAACUCCCAACCUUUAUGAAGGAUAAGAAGCUUGAUUUCCGGUACGGGCAAUUAAAGACCUCAUCACUGGCAGGCCCAACUGGCACCUUCAUCAAAAGCAACUAGAGAAAGAAGGUAGUAACUUCAUGGUACGUUUCAUUUAAGAAAAGAAAAAAAGGAGGAAAAAAAAAAGCAAAGAAGCUUGGCUAUGCAUUCAUGUAGGAGAUAAAUGAUAGUAAGGCUAAUCAGACUUAAUGACAGAUAUGAACAGGUGAAUUUGAAAAUGGGUCUCUCUCUCAAAAAAAAAAAAGAAAGAAUAUUGAAAAUGGGUGUCUAUACAUCAACUUGACACCAACAAGUAAUUUAAAACAACAUAUAUAAUGUUUAUGGAGACGCCUUGAUGUACAGAUAAAGGGUUUCAAGAUAAAUGUUUUUUUUCAUUUAAAUUUUAAAAAAUAGGUCUCAGGUUCGGCAGUUUGAAUCUUUAUUUUUGAAUGCUCAUCUCCAAAUUUCACCUAAAUGGAUCUGAUCCUAAAUCUGAUUAAUCUCAGGUAGUCUAUAUCCUAGAAAUAAUAAAUCAUGCGCAAUGAGUUUCUUUGUUUUGGAAUCUCCAUCUGGAUAUGCUCCCAAAACUCACUAAUCUAACUCUAGUCUACCUCUUUGUGUAAAAUGCUUAGAAUUGUGAAUGAGCUUUGAAGCAUUGGUACUUCUUUUUUGUUCUUUUUUGAAGAAACAUGAUGGAGAAAUUUUGAAUACAGACACUUGAGAGUACACGAAAAUUCCUAUCUUACUAUAUGUACAAGUAUGAGAUCUAACAAAUACUAAAAUUUCAUUCUUUUUCUUAUCGUCCAGUCUAUUUGUAUACCAUUCUUUACAAAAAAAAUCUAUAAAAUUCCCACUUUUGUGCCCCUCGAAGAUGGAGACAACUAUCUUCUUCUUCUUUUUUCAAUAUCUCUUAUCCCCUUCCUUCUAAGUCUGAGACAUAACACGACUAUGCUACCGUGGGGUACCAUCCAUGAUAACACGAAGCCAAUCAUAGCAACCUGUGUAAAAUUCCACUAAUACAAAACACAAUAUAGCAAAAGAAUCCAAAUCCAUCAUCCAUUAAGUAAUUAAAUAAUUGUUAGUUCAUAGCAUCUAAAUCUAAAUUUAAAUAUCAAACUCAUAACCUCAAAAUUCAUGAAGUUACCAAACUACAAGUCCAUAAUUAACUAAUAAAUGUAGAAACUCUGCUAAAAAAACCUCCAAAUUUGCUAGCACGAACCCUCCAAGCCUGAAUCAAUUUCUGCACCUAGAGAUCUCACUUGUCUGAAAAGGUAGAAAGGAAGAGUGAGCUACAUAGCUCGGUAAGUAAAUCUUACACUACCUUACCGAAUUAAACAUAAGUUUUAGCAUAAAAUGAUACAUCAUUUACAAAAUUAACAAUUACUGUAAUAUAGAAUAUUUCAUAGUACCAAACGAUAAAGCAAGUUAUAAAGCCAAUCAUAUAUGCAUAAAUCAUCAAUAUUUCAUAGAUAUGGUUUUAGAUGUAUAGCGUAAAUAAAAUCAUAAAUUAUUUGUUAUUUAAAUAUUGUCAUAUAUCAAAUUACUUCUCUCAAAUUAAAUAAUAAGGUCACUAUUAUACCUAUAACAUGAUCGUAAUCAAAAAAAUACCAACUACUAUUAUCCAUUUGUAGGGUUGUAUGCCAACUAUUAUUAUCCACCGGCAGGAUCAUAUGCCAACUACUACUACUCAUUGGCAGAAUUAUAUGCCAACAACUAUUGCCUGCUGGAAGGAUCGUACAGAUUUAGCUCUGGAUGUUAAUCUAACCCCACUUGUAGGGGCCAUAUAUAAUUAUCUAAGAGACUUUACCCAUUUUUUUAAAUAAAUUUUUUAAAAUUAUAUUUUCUCAAAUCAUACAUUAAUAAAAUACUAAAUAGAUUUAUAGAGUUCGUACUUCAAAAAUAAGCCUUUAAUAUUAGAACAACAAUGAAAUUAUUCUUUUUAUAAGAAAAAUACAUAUUUUAUAAAUAUGGAAUUCAUAUUUCAUAAACAAGUCAUUAGUAUUUGAUGAUAAAUCAUGAAUUUUAUAAUAUCGUAUGCUCAAUUCUUAGUUUUAAAACAUGGUAUCAUCAAUAUUUAAUAUUAUUUUCAUAUCAUAUAAAUCAUAAGUAUAAAAAAUAUGAAAAAAUUUAAAAAAUAAUGAGUGUUAGGGUUAAUUACGUUUUUUGUAUUAAACCGGCAAAAUUCACUAUGCCAAUCAUUUGAAUCUUUUCAAAGUCAUAAAAAGAGUAAAAUUAAUUCCUAUUCAAUAACUUUGACGAACAAAAAUCAUAUGGGGUGGGCACCAAAGAAGGAAAUAUGAGGUGGGCUUUAUAUUUUGUCAUAUUUAAAAUCAUAUGACACAAGCAUCAGAGAAGAAAAUAUGGGGUAGGCUUCAUAUAUUGCCACGUUUUUCCUCAUAAUCAUCUUAAAAAAGAAACUCAAAAGUCAAUGACUCCUACUAAUAGAGUCGUCAGUCUUGUGAUUUUAAAAAAAAAAAUUAUAUGGUGCAUCUUUUUUUCCUCAUUUGCCAACCAUACUUUUUACCGGUAUGUACUACAUGGCUAGAUGAUACACAAUAUAGAUUAGUCAUCUAGGUAAAUCAUACACAAUUUUUAGAAUAUUGUGUGUACUAGUAUACAGUACACAACUAGAUGAUACACAUUUGGCAAAUUAGUCAUCCAACAACCCAAUGCAUACCUUUAAGUAAAUUGAUACACAAUUUUCAAAAGAUCAUGUUUACCAGUAUACAUACUACAUGGCUAAGUGGUAUAUACCCGUCGACUUUCUGAUAUAUACUGAAAGCUUCUUUGAUAUGCACAGCAAGCUUUUUUGAUAUAUACUUAAGUAGUGAUCUAAUACUCACAUCUUGAUAAAUUGAUAUGCAAUUUUCAAAACAUGGCUUUCAGUAGUACACACUACAUGGCCAGGUUAUACACACUAAUCAAAUUAACAUCUAACAAACUAAUAUAUACUUCUCGGUAAAUCGACACACGAUUUCUAAAAUAUGAUGUUCAUCGAUAUCAAUACAUAAUACAUAAUUUUCUAGCUUUGUCUAAUAUAAAAAAUUAUACACAUACCAUUCCUUAGAUUUCAUGAACUCUUAGGUGCAAAGAUGCUAGAAAAGAGGGGGAUUUGGAAGAGGAGAAAGUGACUUGGAAAGGAGAAGGAAGACUUCACAAACAGGAGAGACAGCUUGACGAGGAAAAGGAUAGAUGGAGAAGUUUGAUGAGGAAGAAAGAUGAUGCCAUGUGUGAUUUCUUUUUCUUCUUUGAGACUUUUUUUUGUUUUGAUCAUAGGAUUGAUGACUUUGUUGGCAAGAGGUGUCCUUGGCUUUGGGUUUUUCUUUAAGAUGGGCACUAGAGGAAACAUGGCAAACUAGAAAGCCUGCACCAUAUUUCCUUUUUUGGUGCCCACCCCAUAUUAUUUUUGUUCAACUUUGACAAUUUUAAAUUUUUGAGAGUGAGAAAAAGGGAAUUGUUGGCCGGAUGGUGGUGUUCGGUGACUCCAUGUGGGUUAAGUCUAAGCAAUUCGAUCAAUGAAUUAUGAAGCAAUGAUUUGAUUGAGACCAAGCCUAUUCGACAAGGAUUGUCAAUGGUGGGAUUUUGGACAUUUAAUAACGGCCAGGGUGAUGGGUUUGACACGUUGCCCAUGUACCAGGGUGGUUCAUGGUCUCUCAAAUGGGAUCAACUAGGUCCAUAGAAAAAGGGAGAUGAGCCUUUCACUAGAGCUCCUCAAAUCUAUUAGAGAGAGAAAGAGAGAUGCUUUACUACUCGAGGAGGCCCGAGUUGCUGGAGGCCAAUACAUGAUGCAGCUACUAGGCCAAGUCAUGACCCUAUUUUUCAAAGGUAAAUCAGGGGUCCAGAAAGGAGGCCGGGACCCUCCAUUGGGGUCUAUAGACUAGGUGGAGGGAAAGAAACAUAAAUGGAUUUUUUUUUUCUUUGUUAGCAAGAUAGAGAAGGAGGAAGUCUUCUUCUAGAGGAAGAGGAGAAGGGGAGGGGCAGUGGUGGUCCUGCGAGGCAUGGUGGUACAACCAAUGGCCCAACAAUAGGCAAUGGCGAAAAUCAAAUGGAAGAAAGAAAGGAGAUAGCAACAACCGAUGGUGUGUGGUCCUAAGGGGAGGAGAGUUCUUCUUAUAGAAGAGGCUUAGGGCUCCUCUCCUUCGAGAGGCCAUUGUCUCCAACUCCUAUCCGAAGUCUUCAGAGAGGAAGAGGACUCCUAAUGGAAGUCCUCCGCUACCCAUCACGUGCGGCAUACGAUAUGAAAAAUAUGUAAAUACCAUAGAUUCAAUAAUGAUAAUUAUAUCAAAAUCAAAUAAAGAAUAGCAUUACCAAAAUGAUCACCUAAUAUUCCAAUUUGACCAAGUCAAGAUCUUGAAAAAGAAAAUUGACAAUAUGAUUCGAUCUUUUUUUGACUUGUCAAUUCAACUGAAUCAUAAAAGACUUGGCAAAUUUCAGCCAAAUUUUGAUUUUUUUUAAUAAAUUUUUUGAAUGUAUGUCUUUUUAAAUAUAAAAAAUUGUAUGAAUACCUUCGUAAAGCUGCUAUUCGAGUGUCUACUUAAAGGGUAUUUCAGUAAUUUUAAUUUUAAGCCUUUUUAACGACGUUAAAUGGUAUGGAUACAUAAAAAAAGAAAGAUAUACUUACAAAUAGUAAUUUUAUGAGGAUAUUCAUAUAAUUUUGUAUAUUUAGAAGGGUAUACAUGCCAAAAACUCUAAAUAAUAUUAUUAGCAGAUGUAAAAUUAGUGGGAUAAGAUGGAACUAAACCACAAUGUAGCAUUCUUAAGCCAGCUAUUCAAUUUCACGGUUCACCAUAGGAUCACUACAAAAGAAGGAAGAACUCGCGAUGCUUUUUUAUGUNNNNNNNNNNNNNNNNNNNNNNNNNNNNNNNNNNNNNNNNNNNNNNNNNNNNNNNNNNNNNNNNNNNNNNNNNNNNNNNNNNNNNNNNNNNNNNNNNNNNNNNNNNNNNNNNNNNNNNNNNNNNNNNNNNNNNNNNNNNNNNNNNNNNNNNNNNNNNNNNNNNNNNNNNNNNNNNNNNNNNNNNNNNNNNNNNNNNNNNNNNNNNNNNNNNNNNNNNNNNNNNNNNNNNNNNNNNNNNNNNNNNNNNNNNNNNNNNNNNNNNNNNNNNNNNNNNNNNNNNNNNNNNNNNNNNNNNNNNNNNNNNNNNNNNNNNNNNNNNNNNNNNNNNNNNNNNNNNNNNNNNNNNNNNNNNNNNNNNNNNNNNNNNNNNNNNNNNNNNNNNNNNNNNNNNNNNNNNNNNNNNNNNNNNNNNNNNNNNNNNNNNNNNNNNNNNNNNNNNNNNNNNNNNNNNNNNNNNNNNNNNNNNNNNNNNNNNNNNNNNNNNNNNNNNNNNNNNNNNNNNNNNNNNNNNNNNNNNNNNNNNNNNNNNNNNNNNNNNNNNNNNNNNNNNNNNNNNNNNNNNNNNNNNNNNNNNNNNNNNNNNNNNNNNNNNNNNNNNNNNNNNNNNNNNNNNNNNNNNNNNNNNNNNNNNNNNNNNNNNNNNNNNNNNNNNNNNNNNNNNNNNNNNNNNNNNNNNNNNNNNNNNNNNNNNNNNNNNNNNNNNNNNNNNNNNNNNNNNNNNNNNNNNNNNNNNNNNNNNNNNNNNNNNNNNNNNNNNNNNNNNNNNNNNNNNNNNNNNNNNNNNNNNNNNNNNNNNNNNNNNNNNNNNNNNNNNNNNNNNNNNNNNNNNNNNNNNNNNNNNNNNNNNNNNNNNNNNNNNNNNNNNNNNNNNNNNNNNNNNNNNNNNNNNNNNNNNNNNNNNNNNNNNNNNNNNNNNNNNNNNNNNNNNNNNNNNNNNNNNNNNNNNNNNNNNNNNNNNNNNNNNNNNNNNNNNNNNNNNNNNNNNNNNNNNNNNNNNNNNNNNNNNNNNNNNNNNNNNNNNNNNNNNNNNNNNNNNNNNNNNNNNNNNNNNNNNNNNNNNNNNNNNNNNNNNNNNNNNNNNNNNNNNNNNNNNNNNNNNNNNNNNNNNNNNNNNNNNNNNNNNNNNNNNNNNNNNNNNNNNNNNNNNNNNNNNNNNNNNNNNNNNNNNNNNNNNNNNNNNNNNNNNNNNNNNNAAAAGUCUAAUUUUUUGUAGUGGAUCUUGGUCGCAUGGUAACAGAUAGUUUGGAUCAAAUCUACUCUAGGUUAGAUUGGUGCAGUACGUAGGCAGGUUGUUGGCAUCAGUUGGACUCCACCUUCCUCCCAGCCAAUCAUCAACUUGCAUAUUAGACCAGUAAAUAGAACCACGAUCUGACCAAUGAUCGUUUGGAUUUUCCAUAAAUUUGUCAUGUUAUCCCCAGCUGGAAAUUGAUGGGUCGAGUUGGCUUGGGUAUGAGUUCAGAAGCUAAUCCACAAAAGAGACAUGAGUAAGUUUGCAACUCGGAUGUUGAUGGGAUUGUUGUCAGAAGAAGGGUGGCAACUUUUGUCAAGGCAGUGAUCAAUCCAGAAACAACCUAAGCAGUAAAUUUUUGAGUCCUAAAUCUAACCAAUCCAACAUUGAAUCCAACAACCUAACCAAAAUCUGACUUAGAUUUAGAAUAGUUUAAAGAAAUUGUUUCCACCCCAAGAGCAGUUUGGGCUUAACCUUGCAGUGGGUCUCAGCAGCCACUUCACGAGCAGAUCAGUCCAAGGAGCUUUAUAGAAAAUUUUCUAUCCCUGCUGGUCCCUCUUGGUAGCCAAGCUGGAAUAAUUUUUUUUGGUUGCUAUGUUGUUUUCCCAUGAUGGUGAAGGUGCCAAUGACCAUUGAUUUCCUUGCCGCAGGAGUGUGGAGGGAGCCUUUUCUUGGUGUUUGCUAUCUUUAUUUCCAUAUAACCCCCCUGUGGACUGAACUUUUCCUUCAAUGUAACUGAUGGGAAAGCCAUCAUCCGUUUUGAAGAAUCCAAGCCUACUCUUUCUUAUCAUUUUGAUAGUCUAAGGUCAACUAUCAUGAAGUGAUUUUUUUAAAAAAAAAAAGAAAAAGGUUGCAUGCUUCGUAAACCAGAAAGGUCCCAAACUUGGAACAAUGGAUUGCUUCUAUAUGUUGGGUUCUCACACCAAUUCUUUACCCAAGAUGACCUUGACCUCUUAUGUCACAAAUUAUAUGCAAGAGUAUCUGAGAAUUUUAGUUCUUUCUCUAAUGACAUGAAUGCUCUAUCCUAAAUUUCACACUAUUCCAUUAAUCUGGCUUGGUGUUGUGACACAAAUCUUAGAAAACAAAGGAGCGAAAGGUAUAACUAUAAGGACAGCUCAAAAAUUCAAGUAGGGGGAUCUGCCCCAAAAUCCUUUUAUGGGUCAAUGACAUGACAUUGGGCAUAGCAUGUUCCGCGAUAUCAUAUCAAGCUCUAUUUGAUUGAGGAGGAGGCUACCAGUUUAGGACCUGGGAUCAAGAGAGAUAAGUCCGAGCAGAAUGAAGGAUGGGACCCAAAGAGAGGCCCACUAAAUGAAACACUCACCAUAGCAAUAAUGCUAAUUACAUUUCUCCUUCAGAGGUUUAAACCAUCCUAAACUUCAAUAUAGAUUUGUUGGACCUUUGGAUUCCAACAAGAUAACUGUAUAAGAUAACAAAACUUCAAGAUCCUAUUGUAGCACCACUUUAUUCCCAUAGUUUCGCACUCUUGUUGCCUUAGGAUGAAAUCACCCAGAAGAAGAAAAGAGAGGCAGAAGAUGGGAGAGGAAAAGAAGAAUGGGGCAGAGACUAGCAAUCCUAGGUGCAACUUUCAUUUUCCUCGAUGAUAUGCCAUAUCAUGCAAACCAAAACGCUACAACAUUUUUAGAUCUCAACCAAAUGAAACAAUCCCUAGCAAAAAAGAAAAAGAAAAGAAGAAAAAACCACAGUAAAAGUUGUGGUGAAUCAUAAAAUUUCAUCACUGGAAAGCAGAAAACUGACUGAAGAGUAGAGAAAAAGGCAAAACCAAGAUGCAGAGUGAUGGCAAUCAUUCCAAUAUCUAGUAUCUCAAAAAAGUGAAUAUGGUAGAAAACCACUGCCACUCUGGGGGCGGGAACAGAGGGGGCCCUUUUUAGUCACUUUAGAGCACACAAGAAUGUUGAACUCCACUCAAUGAAAUCAGAGGCAUGAUUAGAUUAUAAUCAAAGAACCAAAGGAUCUAGGCCCCUUCAAUGCACCUAGCAGUAGCUUUUUCACCGGGAAACCUUGAAUGAAGGGGAACUAAGGCUUUCUAAGUACCUAGAGUUCAUUGCCCUUUUCCAUGUCAUUUUAAUGCUCAGCCUUAGAAACAUCUCUAGAGCACAUUCAGGCCACAGUCACUACUGACCACAGCCCUUUAAAUUGCAGAGUUUGGAUUAAUAGUUACUAUGGGCAAUGAGAUGGGAAACUCGAACAUAACUGCAUCACAAGGUACAAUUUUCUGUUAGAUUCUUUACUAAUUGACAUCAUGUUCUGUGUGUUCACUUAGAUCAUAUUUUUUAAGGUUCAGCAUCAGAACAAGACAGUGUUGGAGCUAUGAAAACUAUAAACGAAUUGUCAAACUAUUCGAUUAUGUCAAGUAAUGCUGAUGGCCUGAUAGGGUUGGCUGAUCAUCAUGCAGAUGGCAACCAAGGUAAGUUUAUAUUGCAUUUGGCACUAAUUACCUUCAAUUCUUAAAUAUUGAUUAUUUUAGUUCUGCAUUUUUUUCCUUUUAAGCUGCUGAGCAACAUGAUUCCAAGUACAGUAGCGAAUAUUUGAAAGCUUUGAUCAUGUCGAAUAAUGUCAAUGAAUCAAAGUGUGACAAUCAAUCAAAUUUCUUAGUAGAAUUUGACAAUUUAUGUGAAAAGAACAUGUGGUCAGCUUACGAUGACUUAUCAGCAGCAGAUGAAAAUUUGAUUCAGAAACAAACAUCCAAAGGAAGAGGUUUGUACCGACUGAGAUUCAACUACUAUUUUCUUGUAGUUUCUAUUCAUGAUGAACCUUUACAGCAAUUAUUUUUUUUGCUGGAUAAAUCAGAGAAUACAAUCCUGUAAUGGUACUUGUAAGUUAGUAUACUUCUUGCUGUGGAUUAUAUCUCUGCCUAUAUAAUGCAAACAAUUGGUUCAUUGAUUGGACUUUUCUAAUAAAGAUAUGUCAUAGGAUUUUGUACAUGUAAUUUAGAAAUGUAAAAUGGACAGAUCAAAUAGGAAGUCAUCUGGAUCUAAAAAGGAUGCUCAGGCUGUUUGAUUGUCAUGCAUAUAAUUUAUAAACAACUGAUCUGGUCAUAUAGGAAGCAGUUUAUACAUAAAAGUAAAAUUAAUGUGUUCCUCAAUUAUCUACAAUCUCUGGGCACUCNNNNNNNNNNNNNNNNNNNNCUUUUAUGUAUGGAAUUUGAUUGCAACAGAGGAAGAAGAGAUCAAGUCAUUACUUGACACAUUUGUCCAGAAAUGGAGAAACAUUAUCAAUCCCAUCAAUAGAUCUAAAGAACAAUGAACGGGAGGAACCCAACAACAUAACUUAUAAUGAAUCCUCUGCUGAAGACAUAAUGGAACAGAGGACUAGCAAUGAGGACAGUGUAGGAUCUGAUGGAAAGGGUGAUGAGUCAGGAAAUGAAUGAGCAAAAGCACUGUGACCAAAUCCAAGCCAAUAUUAGAUAUUAAUAGUAAAGAAUUUCCAGCAGAUGGGAGUGCAUUCUGUGGAGAGAGAGUUGUGAUAAGCACUAAUGUAGUUGAAGAAAGUGAAGAAAAUGGAGGGAAACAACUUCCUGAAUUUGAUAUAUUAGGAAAUGGAUCUGUGCUGAUGCAACAAAAAAAUAGUUUGUCAAUUGAAUCAAUUCACAGCAUUUAUUUGGAUGCUGUUGACUCUGAAAUUAAAAGUUCGGCUCAGGAAGAUGAUCCAGAUGAGGUUGAAAAAUCACCAAAAGUAAACCUAAAUAAAAAUGGCAUGAGCCUAAAUCUGACUGAUUAUGAUUAUUAUAAGGGGCCAUUAGAAAAAGAAAUAAUGAAGGAUGGCAUCAAAGGUGAGAGUACUGAUACCCAACUUAAAUCCAUAGAUCCCACUCAAGAAGAAAAGCAGGAAAGUGAGCAUGGGGGAUCAGAAGAUUCAGUGUUUGAGCAGGCAGCUCAAGUUGAUGAGACAAAAAAGAUUGAGAGCAGGCAAGAAAAGCAACAAGAUUACAAAUCGAGUUCUAUGUCUGAGGAGCAAAACAAACAUUCAGCUGGAGAGAUAGAGAUAGUGGAAACAGGAGCUAUUGCUUCGGUACUAGAUAAUCCAGUCACAAAUAACAAACAUGAAGAAAUAUGGAACAUAUAAAUGAGGAAUCAUAUAAGGAAAACAAACAUGAGGAAAAUAAAAUCCAUAUGAAAUAAUUUUCUGAAUUCUCCUCAUCUUUGUCAGAUCUUGUUGCAAGUUUGAGUACAGAGACAGAGAUGAAAUCAGAAGAUUUGAAUGAAACACACAAAAGUGCAGAAGGUGUAACUGUUAAAUAUGAAGAAUAGGACAAUGAAACCAGAGUAUUGAAAGACAAUGACAUCACUGGGGAACGAUUUUUCAUGUUGCCUUCAAAUUGGUUGGAUCCUGUUGAUACAGCAAGUAAAGAACUGAUGAAGGAAACAGAAACAGAAAAAAUGCAGGAGAAAAAAAUGAGCAUCUUGUUGAUGGUCGAAUUGAAGAUGUGCCAGAUGCAACUCUGUCUGAGGUGGAACAUGUGUACGGGACAAAUUUAGUAGAAACAGCAGCACAACCUGCACCUCUAACAGAACCAUCCGAUAUGUAAAAUAACUUGAACCAGCCACAUCUUGUUUCUCCAGUCUGCUUUCAAGAAUUUGCAUGGAAACAAACUACAGAGGAAUCUGAAAUGGAUACUAAGAUUUAUUCCUUGACCAAUGUUAGUGAAUGCCUCAAGAUUUCUUCAGGGCUUCCUCCAUACGAGACAUAUCCAUCUCCAAGCCAGACGAAGACUCAAGCACAUGAAGGUUCAAAGGUUUAAAAUAGUGAAUCAACUGUGAAUUUGGCAAUGCAAUCUCAGGUUGAGGAACAAAAAUGCAAUUCCAUGGACCAUGUUGUUGUCCAUGUUUCAACUUCUGACAUCAAAGUUAUAGGAAGCAGUGGGAGAUUUGCCACUGAAUCAAAUCAAGAAAAAGAUCAAUGGAUGGACUGAUGAAACUACACAGGCUGGCUACAGUCUUGAAAAAAACCAUUGUAGAAAGUGCAAUUUCAGCACGACAACCACAGAAAGGAGGUACCAAAGAAAGCCCCCUACUUCCUCCAGCAGAAAGCAUGAAGUGUCGAAUUGAUGCAUCUGAAAGUUAUGGAUAUGAAGCCCAGGGGACAGUAAAUCACACCAAUGCACUGGAAGAUAAGAAUGAAGUAUCCAAGCAAAAUUCUUUGAUAUAUACUGGUAAGACUGCUACAGGUGAUGUUUUGGGGCUUGAAAAAAGUGUCACUGAAACUGAUGAGAAUAUUAGAAGAUACCAAAGCACCAUUAGCCAAGAAAACAUCAGCAAGAUUGAUGCAGGAACUGCAGAUUCAAUGCAUGAAUCGAGCAGUGAAGAAUGUGAUAAGAGCCCACUUCUAUCCCAAAAAAAGGCAAUGGAGAGUGAACUUCCUCCAUUUGAAAGAAGUGACUUUGGGAAGUUGAAAACACGUCUUCUCAGCCUUAUGAAUGAGGAAGCCUCCAUUAUGAAGCCACAGGAGAAAAAAGUAGUACUGAAGAAGGCUUUACAUGAACUAUGGCAAUUUCCUGCCAAGGAAUAUGUGACUACAUCUCCCAGGGGAGGAGGAAAGCCAAGGCCUUGGUCAUCCCUUUUCAGCAACUGAAAGUGCUUCACAACAGCUAUAAAUUAGAGAUAUUUUUAUUUUUUAGUUGCCAUUCUUUGUUAUUCGUUUUCCAAAAGGCAGACUUUGCCACAACAGUAAGGUUGUUCUAUUGUGAUCUAGGAAUCAUGGGUUUGAACCAUAGAGACAGCCUCUCCGCAUGCAGGGGUAAGGCUCUGUAUAUCUAACCCUCCCCAGAAUCUAUAGUGGUAAGAGCUUGUGCACUGGAACACCCUUUUAUUUUAUUCUUUUUUUUGGAGUUUUAGUUUUUGAAUUUAUUAGGUGGAUAUGAAGAGGGUGUAAUAAGAUAUGAAUUGCUUGAGUUUCACAAAUAAGAGAAUCUAGCGAGAAUUUGGAGAGACUAUGUCGCAAUUUUAUUUUGCUGCAAUACUUUUAUCAUUAUUUCUCUCAGUACUAAGUUAUGUAAGGGCUUUAUUUUUGGUGCAAGUUAUAUAAGACUUCUGCUUUGAGGUUUAUGAUCUUAUGAGUCUUUUGAUGUUAUAUCAUAAUUAGGAUAAGUCUGAAUCAGUCGGACCUACAAACUUUUUCCAUUUAUAAAGGCAUAUGAUGCUUGGCAAAAGGUUGUGCUUUAGUAGUUUGACUGAAGAAGAAUUGCCCUACAGUGGUUUAAGACAAAGAUGGAUAACUUCAAGAUUAUUUUUUUGUGAUUACAAGUCUAUAGCACAUCCUUUGAAGAAGUCUAAAUUUGAAAUAUUGCAGACAAGGUUUAAACACAUGUAACAUCUUUCUCUUGGGUGGACUAGUAGUUUUUUUUUGGAGAGUAUGGCUGGGUUAUUAGUCAAAACAUAAUCAGGAGCUGUCAUUUUAAGAAGGUGACUUGGUCAGAUCAUCCAAAAAAUACAGUCCAGAUCCUGUCCUAAUAAUACGAAACUUGAACCGUAUAUAUCGGAAAAGGCUUAAAUGAUGAUAAUGAUGGUUCAGCUCAUUUGGAAUUGUUGGACUGACUGCAUCAAAAUCUUGACCGAUCACAACUGGUUCCAAUUUCAACAUAGAAACUAUGACCAACCCAACAUAAUGCGACAACCAAACAGAUAACAAGAAGUAAAAGGCUUAUAGUUUCAUAAAUUUGCAAUCUAGCUGUAGUAUUUAGCUUUGCAAUGCAAUAUGAUUUUAGAAACUCUGGCGACAUCUUGUUAGUUGUUAUACUGCAACUCUGAUAACCGCAAAGUAAGAUACAAAGAUUAGUAAUAAGAAAUGGCCCCAACUUUUAAAGGCCACUUAUCAUGAGAUAGAAGAUCUUCUAACACUUAACAUAAACAAGAGCUCAUCAUUCAUCUUAAACUUAAAACUUGUAGACCCAACCCGGCUAAUAGCUAAUUAGGAAAUGGGCUGGCCUAGACUAGACAUAGAUUUAAAUGAGUUCAGAAGUUGGCUUAAAUCCCUGACCCAUUCAAGCAGCCGUUGUUCUCCACUCCAAGUUUUAAGUUGGCUCCUUCUUUCUUCCCACCAACUUUCUGAAAUGGUGGACCCGGAGUACUUGGGUGUUUCACGAUGGAAGACCAGCAUUCAUAGACCUAUUGUCAAACACCUAUCGUGUGAUUGAAACACUAGUUGAAUGAGAUUGCCAUAAUCUGGUGUGGAAUCCCAAUUCAAACUAUUGCUAUUGAUAAUAGGAUGCUUGUCCAAUCCAAAUGAAAAAAUAUCGAUGCUAAAUGCAUAUAAGAUACAAACUUUCCAGAACGCAAGAAGUUGGUUUUGAAUCACCUCCAAAUGAGAGGCCCCACUCUGACCCAAAUCACCAGAAGAAAGAAAAUACAUAUACCACAUGCAACUCAUGGAAGAAAGACAGAUUAACUCCCUAAAAUCUUUCCAAGUCCAACCAUGUGGUGCCCAAUAUUAAAAUUAGCAUAUACUUAUUUAGUGGUACCUAAGAGAGGCCUAUAUUUUUGUGCUUGCUAACCUUUGGGGAAGAUACAUCUCUCGGCGUCACCAGAUCCAGCUUCUUAGUUUUGGUGCGUUAAGAGAUAUUGUUUGGUUAUACUUUUUGCUUUUUGACGCACACCGCCGCCGAUCCAAAAGGCCUAAAAGAAACGCGGUGGCUGCAGGUUAUUCUAUCGACUGGUGGAGCGGUGGGACCGACACAGUUCCUCACCUCUUUGAGGCGCGUAAAAUCAUUUCCUUCAAGGUGAUAUUUGCCUCCACUCAAAAGAGCUUGCUAAUAGAUUUUUAGCAAAUCACUUUCAGAAUACAACAAAGUCUUAAAAAAUUUUGCAGAUAGUAAUUCUGAAGAGAUUUCAAGAACUUUCCAGAAAAUUAUUUAAAAACUAAAGAAAAAUAAAAGUCUUUUGACAGAAUUGCUGAAAGUGGAGAAAGAAAUGAAAAUUGCAUACCAAAAUCUAGGACAAGGCUCUCUAUAUAUAUAUAGACUUGAUGCCCCUUUCCAAUUGGUGCAUCUCCUAUUCCACAACAAUGCACCUUUUUGGUGCAUCUAUUGGCAUCAAAACGAUGUACCAGUUGAGUACAACUUUUGCCAAAUAGAUAUUUUAAGUUGCCGCAAUUUCUGCUCUCAUUAGAAGUUGUAGCUGGAAAUUGGACCCGGGGGCGGCCGUCGGCUGAGGAGGAGGAGCUCCGGUGUUGGAACGGCAGGUGGCAGUGGUCCGUCGGCGGGCGGCGUCCUCCGGGAGACCUGCAAGAAGCCGGUGGCCGGAGUUUCCGGCGCCGGCCCUCCGAUGCUUAAGUCAGAGGGGGCUAAUGUGUAGAGGGAGGGAGGAGAUCCCUUUUCUGGGUUUCAGAGUCCUCCUUUUAUAGAGGGGUAUUGUAUUACUUGUGAAGUGACGGGGCAAGUGGUUCUUUCUUGUCAUAAUUGAACACGAUCGUGUGCAUUGAUUCAAUAUUGUGGGAGAUUAGACUGGAGUCAGUGAGUUAUCGUGGCUGAUCAGACGUGGCGAAGUAGUUCAACUGCUUGCCGUGGAGGGCUUGAGAUCCGUAGAUAACGUGCAUUGAUUGUCGAGUGAGCCGGAGAUCAGCAAAGGCCAUAUGCUUUAAUGGUUGAGUGAACCGGAGAUCAGCAAAGGCCAUACGCUUUAUGGUUGAGUAAACUGGAGGCCUGCAGGGGCCAUGCGCUUUAAUGGUUGAGUGAACCGGAGGCCUGCAGAGGCCAAGCGCAUUAAUUGUCGACGGCGGUAGGAGGGUAUGGCCGCAGCAUGUGGUCAACGAGGUCGGCCUUCUGAGGUCAGCUCGGCCUUCCGUGUUCGGCCUUCUGAGCUUGGCUCGGCCUGCAUGAUGAGCUCGGCUCGGUCUUCUGAGCUCGGCUCGGCCUGCAUGAUGAGCUCGACUCAGUCUUCUGAGCUCGGCUCGGCCUUCUGGGCUCGGCUCGGCCUUCUGAGCUCGGCCUGCAUGAUGAGCUCGACUCGGCCUUCUGAGCUCNNNNNNNNNNNNNNNNNNNNNNNNNNNNNNNNNNNNNNNNNNNNNNNNNNNNNNNNNNNNNNNNNNNNNNNNNNNNNNNNNNNNNNNNNNNNNNNNNNNNNNNNNNNNNNNNNNNNNNNNNNNNNNNNNNGAGCUCGGCAGCCUUCUGAGCUCGGCCUGCAUGAUGAGCUCGGCUCGGCCUUCUGAGCUCGGCUUGGCCUUCUGAGCUCGGCUCGCAUGAUGAGCUCGGCUCUGCCUUUUGAGCUCGCUCGGCCUUCUGAGCUCGGCUCGCAUGAUGAGCUCAGGCUUGCUGUCAGAUUUGGGUGCUUUAAUUGUACUUGUGGGGUGGUCUAUUUUUCCCCCCAACACUACCCCCGACUUCCAAGUUCGAGCCGCUUUUUGGCUCGGGCGAAGGAAGUAGUCCAAUCGUCGAUCAUACUGUAAUAUAGCCAAAUAUAUAUGGAGAUGUGCAUGCCAAGCAGGAUGUACCUUUCAUGCAGUUAGAGUUAAAGUGCUUCAGGUCGACUCAGCGGCCUUCUUUGGCUUGUGGUCAACUUAGCAGGGUGCCCCCACUCAGAUCGGGGCGUGUUGUCAUAGGAGGCGUCGAAUGGCGUUUAAAGGCGUUGAAUGGCGUUGAAUGUCGUCGAAUGUCGUCGAAUGGUGUCGAAGUAUCGUCGAAUGGCGUCGAAUAUCGUCGAAUGUUGUCGAAUGGCGUCAAAUGUCGUCGAAUGUUGUCGAAUGGCGUCGAAUGUCGUCGAAGUGUUGUCGAAUGGCGUCGAAGUGUCGUCGAAUGGCGUCGAAGUGGCAUCGAAAUGGUGUCGAAAUGGCGUCGAAAUGGCAUCGAAAUGCCAUCGAGCACUUAGAUGAGCUUGAGAGCGGAAGAGCUCGAGCACUUAGAUGAGCUUGAGAGCGGAAGAGCUCGAGCACUUUAGAUGAGCUUAAGAGCGGAAGAGCUCGAGCACUUAGAUAAGCACAACGGAAGAGCUCGAUCACUUAGAUGAGUAUAACGGAAGAGCUCGAUCGCUUAAAUGACCUGGAGAGCGGAAGAGCUCGAGCACUAAGAUGAGCUCGAGAAUAGAAGCUCAGCUCGAAGGUAAGCAUUAGCUCGAGAACAUAGACGAGGGAGGGCGAUGUUGGAGAUGGAGGUACCUUUUGGAGACAUUUUAACAGCUCCCAAGCUUUGAGGUCCCUCAGGACUUGGCUCAGCACCGGCUGGGAGUCGUUGGAGGCCGUUAAGCGGUACGCAUUGAGCUCUGGGCCGCGCCGCUUCCCUUUGAGGUCGAGGAGCUAUGAUUAUGCNNNNNNNNNNNNNNNNNNNNNNNNNNNNNNNNNNNNNUAACAGCUCCCAAGCUUUGAGGUCCCACAGGACUUGGCUCAGCACCGGCUGGGAGUCGUUGGAGGCCGUUAAGCGGUACGCGUUGAGCUCUGGGCCACGCCGCUUCCCCUUAAGGUCGAGGAGCUAUGAUUAUGCAGGAUCCAUGGCUACCCAAGAGCCCCUUUUUUUGGGGGGGGGACAGGCUGGACCCGAUCUUCUCGCUGUCUUGGUUGGCCAAGAGUUGCGUUGCAGGCCGAGCUGACCCAGACCAUGAGAAGGUUUAACUUUAUAGUACUUUCUUGGGACGGAAUCUCUUGUGAAUCUAGCCAGAGGAGUGCUCAUCCUUUCAAAGGCAUUACAAAAUAAGGCGUCAGCCGAGCUUCCAUUAUGUACUAAAAUACUUUUUAAAGCCUUGCAAUGAUGAAGGAAUAGCUACAGCGUCGCCAUAAAGAGGGCUCAACAUCCUUUUGGUCUUCAUCGGAAAAGGAAACAACUUUUGCAGUGCACGGAUGCUUUGAGGAAGCUCUUUCUUCCGAGCUCGAUGCUUCAGGUAUCCCUACUCGCCCGCCUUCUGAUGAUAUUGAUGAUGCCCGCAAGAGGUUAGUUGUUGUUCCGCUCAUCACGUGGCACUGGGUUUUGUUCCUCAGGCUCUCUCCUGUAGGCAUGAUCAUGGACAAAACAACUCAACCGACCUCGGCGGACAAGUGCCUCGAUCUCAUCACGGAGCUCGUAGCAAUCCUCCGUAUCAUGGCCGCGAUCUCGAUGGAAGUGGCAGUACUUUUUCGAGUACUUCCGCGACUCUGUCGGUCGCAUCCUCAAUGGAGGUCGGAGGUAGCCCUGACCCUCAAUCUCCAUGAGGAUCUCUGUUCGGGUGGAUGUGAGGGGCGUGUAUGUCUGAAACUUUUGGAGGGGAGACCUUGGGCGAGCUAGGCUCUUGGGCCAAGGAGGCUCUUUCUCAUGCCAGGGGAAUCUACUACUUGGUUGGGAGUGCUCCUCCUGGCGCUUCUUUUGCAUCUUGGCAGGUCGUUCGACUGCCUCCCGCCGAGAGGCUAUGGCUUCCUCAGCCUUGGCGUACUUACGAGCUCGGGCCAACAUUUCAAGAAAGUCGGCAAGGAAACUCUUCUCGAUGGAGAAGAGAAAUUUGUAGGACCAAGCCCUAUUCUUCAAUGCCGACAUGGCGAUUGACUAAUUGAGAUCGCGAACCUCCCAUGUGGCCAAGGUAAAGCGAUUGAUGUAGUCUUUUAAGGAUUCUCCCUCCUUCUGCUUGAUAGCAAAGAGGGAGUCUGAGGUCCGGCGCUGACGCCGGCUAACGGCAAGAUGGAUGGCGAGCUGCCUGUCCAACUGUUCAAAGGAGAGAAUCGAGCUGGGCUUUAGUUCGGAGAACCAAAGACGAGCUGCCUUGCGGAGAGUUGCUGGAAAGACUUUACAGAGUAGAGCAUCUGUGUCUCCUUGGAGUGUCAUAAGGGUCUUGUAGCUCUCCAAAUGAUCCAGAGGAUCGGAUGAGCCAUCAUAUGGCUCAAUCUGUGGCAUCUUGAACCUCUGGGGGAUUGACUCAUCCAUGAUCCAUUGAGGGAAUGGAGACUCUGUUGUAAAGUCAAGGUCAGCGUCUCGCUUCGGGCCUCGGUUUUGAAGCAUUUGUAUCUGCCGCUCCAAGUCCUCAACUUUUCUGCCGAGCUCGGGUGGAGCUCCUGUUGCAACUUGGCAUGAGGCAGAUCCUGCCUCAGAUAGGUGCUCCCGCACUCGAGACGUCAGGCUUCGGCGCAAACUCUCAGGAUAAUGGAUGCGCGACAAGCCCUCCCGGCUUGGGGGUCGAGCUCGGUGGGAGCUUCAGUGAUGGCGACGCUCUACAGAAAAAUGACGUCGCGAGCGGCAUCCUGAGGACUCAUGCUCGUGAGGAGGGAGUAAAAGUUGAUCUUCUACUUGCUGUAGGCCUUGGACGGCCACAAUGAGUGCUUGGACUUGUUGAACAAGCAGGUUGAACUGCUCGGUUGGACUUGGGGGACUGGAUCUGCCAGAGGUCUUGGUGGUGAGUUUUGAACAGAGUGCCCAAGGCAUGGUGGGGGAUGCCGUGAGGCAUUGGAGGCUUCUUUGCUUCUCAACUUCAUGGCCACAACUCGGGCCCUUCCACUAGCGCUAACUGUUGCUGGAAAUUGGACCCGGGGGCGGCCGUCGGCUGAGGAGGAGGAGCUCCGGUGCUGGAACAGCAGGUGGCGGUGGUCCGUCGGCGGGCGGCGUCCUCCGGAAGACCUGCAAGAAGCCGGUGGCCGGGGUUUCUGGCGCCGGCCCUUCGAUGCUUAAGUCAGAGGGGGCUAAUGUGUAGAGGGAGGGAGGAGAUCCCUUUUCUGGGUUUCAGAGUCCCCCUUUUAUAGAGGGGUAUUGUAUUACCUGUGAAGUGACGGGGCAAGUGGUUCUUUCUUGUCAUAAUUGAACACGAUCGUGUGCAUUGAUUCAGUAUUAUGGGAGAUUAGACUGGAGUCAGUGAGUUGUCGUGGCUGAUCAGACGUGGCGAAGUAGUCAACUGCUUGCCGUGGAGGGCUUGAGAUCCAUAGAUAACGUGCAUUGAUUGUCGAGUGAGCCGAAGAUCAACAAAGGCCAUACGCUUUAAUGGUUGAGUGAACCGGAGAUCAGCAAAGGCCAUACGCUUUAUGGUUGAGUGAACUGGAGGCCUGCAGGGGCCAUGCGCUUUAAUGGUUGAGUGAACCGGAGGCCUGCAGAGGCCAAGCGCAUUAAUUAUCGACGAUGGUAGGAGGGCAUGGCCGCAGCAUGUGGUCAACGAGGUCAGCCUUCUGAGGUCAGCUCGGCCUUCCGUGUUCGGCCUUCUGAGCUCGGCUCGGCCUGCAUGAUGAGUUCGGCUCGGCCUGCAUGAUGAGCUCGGCUCGGUCUUCUAAGCUCGGCUCGGCCUGCAUGAUGAGCUCGGCUCGGCCUGCAUGAUGAGCUCGGCUCAGUCUUCUGAGCUCGGCUCGGCCUUCUGGGCUCGGUUCGGCCUUCUGAGCUCGGCCUGCAUGAUGAGCUCGGCUCGGCCUUCUGAGCUCGGCCUGCAUGAUGAGCUCGGCUCGGCCUUCUGAGCUCGGCUCGACCUUCUAAGCUCGGCCUGCAUGAUGAGCUCUGCUCGACCUUCUGAGCUCGGCUCGGCCUGCAUGAUGAGCUCAGGCUUGCUGUCAGAUUUGAGUGCUUUAAUUGUACUUGUAGGGUGGUCUAUUUUUCCCCCCAACAGAAGCUAUAACCAUUUGGUUUUCUUGCACGUUCUUUCUUUGCAACACAGAUUGCCAACAUUUUCUAAUUUGAAAAUUAUAUAUUCAAUAGCCACUUUAAAAUAACUAUACGUGAGGUUUGAUCCAGUGUGAUCAACAAUUAGUAAACUAUGAAUUUACUCUUUUUAUAUUACAAUCUAUUAUAUUUCCAACAUUGUUAGCCUUAAUCCUUAGAGAGUCCGAGCGAAAUAAGUUUCUGAUAGGUAUGUAAGAAUCCAGCCUAAUCUAAAAACUCAAGAUCUUAUUUGCCAUGGUUGUCAAUUUCUAAUUUUUAUUUUGUAAAAUACUAUAAAAAAUUAACGCAAAAAUAGAUAUUUGAUAAUUUAAUUUUUAUUUUUAAUGUUGCAAUUAAUUUUUGAAAAUUAUAAAAUUAGACAAUGAAUGUUUGACUUUUCUGAAAAGUGGCAACCAUCUACCACCACCUACACCCUCUACCGGCAAUUGCCAUCUCUAUCUAUUGUUGGCUAUCGUCGGCCACCAUUUACUAUUGGCAACCAUUGUUGGCUACCAUUCUCCAUCACCACCAUCACCCAACGCCAUUAUCGUCGAUCAUCCCAUGUAGUUAUUUGCUAUUGGCCAUCACCAAUCUUGUGUCACUAUUUCCUGCCACCCACCAUCCUCGAUUGCACCUUCGGCCACCGCUAUUUCCUUCCGGCCAUGAUCACCAUUCUCUCCACCACUAUUUUUAAGAGAGGAAAAAAAUAAAGAAAUUAAUCUCAAUUUUUAAAAAUAAAAACUGAAAACCGGCAACCAUGAUAAACACGCUACCUAAACUACAAAGUUUAAACCUAGUCAUAUAGAGCAGUUCUAUUUUUUCUUAUAUUGUUCUAUUUUAUAUAGAACUAAAUUUCACAGGUGACUUGUAGACUUGAGCAGGUCUUCGCUAGAGGGGCAAAGAGUUUCUAGAAAGGGAAAGGGAGAACAACUUCGUCUAGGCUGAUGCAGAGCGAAAGAAACUAGAAAAGAGUCGUGGUCAGACUAGAACUCGUACUAGGCCCCACUUCCUAGCCAAAAAAGCUGGAAUUUUGGAUGCUUCUCCCUGUAAGUUGGCUGGGUCUGGUGAACUACCCCGGAGGCCGGACCUUGAAACACUAUCCCAUCUGACUUCACUUUCUCCUUCAUCCUCUACAGCUUUAACUUUUUCUCGAUUUCCAUUUUGAUGCCUCCAAUUAAGUUGUUAAGUGGCUUGGCGCAUACUUUUUGGAUUUAAUUCAAAUUAGUUGAAUUUGUUCACAACCUGUUGCCUAAAAAAAAAAAAAUCUUUCUUAAUUUUUUUUUCUUGUUGCCAUAGUUUGAUAAGAAUCUGGUAGUGAUUUAUUCUUAUUCCAACUUUCUAAGGCAGUCUGAUUGAAAGGUAGAGAGCUGAUCGAAUUGCAGCUUGAUCAACUCCAAAUAUUGUCCGUAGAUGAUCAAUUAAUUUCAGUCUGUUUUAUAAGAUUGGUAUUCUAUUUAAUAUGAUGCUCUAAGCUUUAUUUAUGGAACCUUCGAGCAAUGUAUUUGAUACCAGUCUCUUUUUUAAAAAAAGAAAUUUGGAAGUUCUCUCAUAAGCCAACAAUUUGUUGCGACAUUGUGUACUUGCUAAUCUGAGGAGAUAAUCCUUUGACUACUAGAUCCAUUAACUAAUGGUGCUAGCUAGGAUGUUCCUUUUUUUAUAUAUAAAGAAAGAGAAUUAGGCCGGCCCACGUGCCCUAAUUCUUCAAUGGUAGGUAAGCUCCUCUACUUUUUAAAAUAGUUACAGAAGAAGAUGAAGAGGAAAAUGGAAGGAAAAAAAAGAGAAAUAAUUUUAUUUCUCUAUUCCAUCAUAUUCGGUACAUCUCAGUGUUAUAUAUACUUCUGUACAGACUCCAUACAAGAAAAAUAGUAUAGGCUGAUAUAGGAUCACAUAAAUAAUAGAAAAUAUUACUGACUCAUACAAGUUAUUAGGUGAUUCCUAAAAUCACUCUAACAAGAUCAUGCUAAUAAAGAAAAAUAAUAUAGGUUUGAUACAAAAUCACGUUAAUAAAAAAAAUAUUAUGGACGAUGUAGGUUGUUACAUAAUCUCUAAAAUUAUGCUAACAUCCCUCCUUAAAUUCAAGAUGGUACUAUAGGUGCCAACUUGAGUUUGGAAAUUAGAUCACUAAUGUACCGAAAAACUGACGUAUUAGAUGAAGAGCUGGAAUAGUAGCUCAAAAGCUGAUGUGAUCGAUUAAGAGCUGACAUAGCAGCUCAGAGAUUGAUAUGAUGGUAGAUUAAAAGCUGAUAUGGCAGUAUAGAGCCUGAUGCAGUAGAACACAAGCUAUUAUGGCAAUUCAGAAGCUGAUGUAGCAAAUUGAAGUUGACAUAAUAACUCAGAAGCUGAUAUAGCGAACUGAUGUCUCUGACUAAUAUGACAGACUGACAUGUCUGUCAAUGUGGCUGAUUGAUUUGUCUAAUGAUGUAGCAGCAAGAAGACACAUAGAAAAUGACGGUUGCAGCAAAAACAAAGCUUGGAGAGAAGGCUAUCAAAAGUCGAUAAUUUUCGUAGACGGAGGCAUCAUAGAAGAGGAGCAAGAGACCCCGAAUUAGAUGGUGAAGGAGCCGAAGGCAACAAAUAAAAUCGAAGAUAGAGAGAAGGGACCGAGCUACGGUAAGAAGAGACAACUGAAGAUCUGAAACUGUGAAAAAAAGUGGUAGAGAGGAGCUGCGGAUCCAUUAGAAAACAUAAAAUCCUCGGGUAUUAAUCUACCAGAAAUAGAGGAUAUGCGGAGAAAAAGAGGAUCUGCAGAUCCACUAAAAAAUAGAGGAUCUUUAGGUGUUGAUUCACCCGAGAACAGAGAUCGAUAGAGCGACAAAGGAGAUUUUCAAAGCUUCUAGACAUAGCAAUGACAGCCACAACAAAGGCAGAAGAGAUGCCGACGGCAGAUUAGAUGAUCAGUGACUCUGAUACCAUGUUAAAAUAUUUACAGAAGAAGAGAAAAAUGGAAGAAAAAAGAGAAAAAUGAUUUUAUUUCUUUGUUUUAUCAUAUUCAGUACAUCUCAAAGGUUAUAUGUACUUGUGUACAAACUCCAUACAAAGAAAAUAAUAUAGGUUGAUAUAUAACCAAACAAAUAAUGAAAAAUAUUUUUUUGUUUUAUCAUAUUCGGUACAUCUCUAUAGCAGCCGCCUGCUACAAGUCCUCGUGCUGGAGCAAUAGAUUACUAAGUUCUCUAGCAUCAUCGCAUCUUUCAUAUGAUGCCUAAGACAGGCCAAAUAGAAACCCAUAGGCAAAUACAUUGCUGAUAAUAUAAAAUUGUAUAACAAAAUUAUAUCAGAAGAACCCCACUGCCUUGAAGAAUUAUGCUUGAGAGCGAAACUAGCCAGGGAGCGAAUCAUUAAGUUAUGCUGCCUAUUAACAUGAGAAAUGUGAAGAUUGGUGAAGCAGCAUUUCCAGUUCAAACAAUUAUUUAAAAUUAUUCAAGUAUUCAAUGAAACCAAUAAUAAAGAAAAUAAGGGUGACCUCAGAUCCACCCAGGAGGCCAGUUAAGCUGCCCGUGAAGUCUCUAGCCCUCUACCAGGAUAUCUAAGGAAUAUAUCAUCAUGCUAAUAAAGAAAAAUAUCAAAAACCUGUGAAGGAUUAUUUUCUGAAAAUUUCAUGGAAUCAUGUGGACUUAAAAAUCGUCGAGCAUGACUUCUGUAGAAGUAGUUGUUGUGCUCUCUUUUUUGACAGAUAUCUCUUCCCUUUGUAUCAUUUCUCCAUCACAAUAUGCAAGUAUCGCACGCAUUUGUUUUAUAGAAUUGGGCAAAUCAUUGUUUGCACCAGUAGGUAAUUUGAUCGAACAUGUAGAUAAAGUGGGAAGAGGAAAAAUAUCGACAUUUAUGAUUAGAUAUAGAAAAAGGCCAGUAAAAUGUAAAGAAUUGUCAUUCAGUUAAACAAAGAUAUGAAGUUUAGAUGCAACAUCUUCAUCAUCUAACAUAUAAGUUAGGUGGCCUUCAUCAUUCGCACAAAUUCCUCGUAGUUCACUUGUCCAUCACCAUCCACAUCUGCCUCCUUAAUCAUUUGAUCAACCUCUUCAUCGGUCAAUUUCUCCCCGAGAUUAAUCAUCACAUUCUUUAGCUACAAGCACAAAAAAAAAUCAAACAAAUAAAUAAAUAAGUUUUAGAACCAAAUACUACAAAUGAAAGCAUUAAAUGAACAUAACAAUUGACUUAUUCAGAUAUAAUGCGCAUGGUGAGAUGCACUUUCAAGUUCUUAGCUGUGUACCAGAUCUUGUUAAAACUGAUGCAAGUGAAUAUUGUUGCUAAUUUUCACACAAGCACAUGGAACUGUGGUUUAUCUCAGCUUAAAAUUACAAAAGGCAUGCAAAGAAAAGAUAGAUGGAACAUUGUAACUAUUUUAAAUUUACCUCACUGGCUGAGAUAUAUCCAUUUUGAUCCUUGUCAAAGACCUUGAAAGCUUCUUUGAGUUCCUCCUCUGCAUCAGUCUCCUGCAAGGAGGGUAAUACUAAGUGUCAAGUCUUUGAUUACCCAAAAAAAUGUCAAGCUCUUCAUGAGGGUAACGACAAGCAGGAGACAGAGAUCAUGUGAUCUCUAAUAUGGCCAAUCAGAGCAGACAUUAGUAUAGUACAUAUUGGAUGUGUAAUGGUUUAAUUAUAUUAUUUUACCUUCAUUUUUCUUGCCAUUAGACUCAAAAAUUCUCCAAAUUCUAUGGUUCCAUUGCCAUCUGCAUCGAUUUCUGUAAUCAUUUCAUGCAACUCAUCUUCAGUAGGGUUCUGGCCCAAUGAUUUGAUGACGGUGGCAAGUUCUUCCAGUGUGAUGCACCCUGCGGUUUAAGCAAGAAGCAGAAGAAGCCAUUAAUAAUCAUAAUCCUCCUAAAAAGAGCAUUGACUGCCUAAUGAGUUAUUAGCAUGGUGUAUACAUAUGAAAGUUUUAUCUUAUGAAGAUCAUAAUGGUCAUCUCCUUUUCUCAAUCAUUCUCCUGAGGAAAAGACAAAUUCACCCACAGUCAUUUACCUCAUGCUUUGUUCUUCUUGUCAAUGGAACCAACAUCUCAAAAACUCUGGUAGAAGGAUUAUUAGGCUUCCAUCCUAACUAAAGAUUGUCUAGAAGAUUGAUAAUAUAACAAUUUGCUAGGUCUAAUUAGGAUUGUUCAAAGCUUCUGGCUUAGCCGAUUGAUAAAGUCUCUCGGUGGUCGUAGCAUGGAGUUACAUUCCUACAAAAAAAAAAAAAAGUUGUAAAAUGGACUUUUAUCCAAUAUCCAGCUCCAUCAAGGUGGGGAGGACAAAGAAUAAUAUUAUUAAUUUUAUUAUUUAUGAUAAAACCUUGCUUGUAGGUUAAAAAAAAUCGACAAUAAUAUUAACAAAGAACAUCAUUUGUGUUUUGUGGAAAUUUCUGUAGCAUACUUUUUUGUGCUUCAAUUCUACUGCUCGAUCGUGGUCCAUCGACAACAUCUUAGUUGGGUGGCCAAUAAAAUUCUUAAUGAUUUGGCUUCUAGCUUCCCAAAUCCAACUCGGCGUGAUGGCUUAAAAAACCAACCAUCUAGGCCACUUAACAAUCUCUAUUGUGGUGGAAAUUUUUUAAUUUGACCAAUUCAUGGCCUCUAGCCAGGUCUAAACCAUCCAAGAGACUAACAACUUCUAAUAGACUCACUCCAGCUCUCCCCUUACACUUUUUCUUUCUCUCUGAAAGAGAAGUGGCGUACAAGGACUUCACACAAGUCCACCAUAGACUAGAGACAAGACAAAAGCAAUGGAGAUCCAUGCUUUAGCAUCAUAUACAAAACAAAAAAAAUGCUAACAAACACAGGCACAUAUCAGAAGAACGAAACAUUUUAUCAGGAAAACUAACAAACUGAUCAUAUCUCAGAAAAAAAAAAAUCCAUUGUAGUUAAUCCCCAUUUUCUCAACUAAAGAAGAUACCAGGCUCUCUUAUCAACCCCACAUUUACAUAUCAGACAAAAUUAACCACAAAAGACCAAAGUUAACAACUGGAGGGCAAGAUAAGAGUCUAAAACAAGAACAAAAUAUUCAUUGAAACUAAACCAAAUCAAUCAACCCAGAGAGAAGCCAACAAGAAUUCCCUCUCGAAAAAAAAAAAACAAGAGAGAGAGAGAGAGAAGAACUAACCAUCUCCAUCCUUGUCAAAGAGGCUAAAGGCUUCCUGGAACUCAGAGAUCUGCUCCUUUGUCGGGCGAUCCAUAGCAAUAUAAUCUAUAGCCAAAAGAGAGCUAACGAAGAAUACCUUGUAGGGGGGAAGGCGAUGCAAGAAAACCGAAUACCAGCGCUGGGCUUUUGUAGGCACGAGGGAGGAGUUAGAAGUAUUCUGGACGGCUGACUUUUUUUUUCAAAUUACUCCUGGUCAAAAGUCCUUUUCAAAGAAUCCAAAAGGAAAUUACAAAGAAUAUAAAUAUUAGAUUUUCUUAUCCAAUAAUUUAUCUAUGUUUUAUUUCGAUCCUUUGUCUGCUGCUUUCCACCCUAAAGGGCGAAUUUGUUGGCCCAAACGGGUGCAUUUGUUUCCAGCCCCGCAACCCGGUCGGUCUGACCGUGAGUCUGUGACCUGAUGUCCCUUUUCUUAUUUUAUUUUUUUAUUUCCUUUUUGUUUUCUUCUAGGCUUUAAUUUAUUUUCUCAGUGAUUGCCCUGUGAUUUUCCAACUGUGGACAGCUGGUGUUGGAUUUUGGGAGGACAGAGGAAAAGGCAACUUGGUUCUCGAGUCAAAAACAAAGCCCUAAAUAUUUCUUUUACCACGGAAACAACAAUUUAAUUACAAAAAGUUUAGUUUGUUUGAACCGGUAUAAUAGUCAUGAGUCCCUUGAACUCUUAUAGAUUGGUGCCUUAAUUACCGUAGCUUCUCGCCAAAUUAUUGCCAGUGUGAAUAAUCUCUAUCAUGCUUAUUGGGCUAUGCAUGAGACUUGUCGGACCACAAGGCGGCAUGAAUAGAGAAUUUGUUUUCUAAAAAUUUGUUCGAGUGAUCUUCACCGAGUGAAGACUCGAAAACUCCAUCUUUGGAGUUGUAUGGGUUCAUGGUAUCUAAUAAUCACCAUCAUGCCAACCACAACCAUGAAUGAAGAACCGAUCCUUUCAUGCAAGUCCAAGAUCCAUAUUCCAGCAAAAUAUGCAUCCCAUUGGAUUCAUACCUAAAUCCGAAAGAAUUGGUUGGUUCUUCAAUCAUAGCUUUUCUGUGAUUGACACGAUAACCGUGAUUGAUAUUAAGUUGAUAUGAACUAAAUAGGAUUUUUUAUCGAGUUUAGAUGCUUCUAGUUUGUACCUGAAUUCGCCAGGGCCAUUUAUUUCAUCACAAUCGUCUGCAUCCUCUCUAAUUCAGGUGCAAAUUGAAAAGGAUUCAAACUCCUAACUUAGUAAUAUUGUUACUCCUAACCUUGUUAUUGGUAUGAAAUUGAUAAAAAAUGCAUGAGAUCAUCUAUCUUAUACCAAUACAAUUUACCGGUUGGUUGGUAAUUGGCUUUGUGGCAUCCAAGCCUGGACUAAGACCACCUACCCCAUGUAUGCACACUAAAAUUGAACAGUGAAUAGAUAGGUGAUUUGGUAGUAAUAUCAAAUUGACAAUUGUUCUCCUAUCUUUUGCCAACGCCCUCCUACAAAAGCAAAACUAAAUCAAAUAAAUUUACUUGGAAGAAAAAAUCUUUUGACCAUGAUCAGCAUUGCUGAAUGGCAAACCACCUGCGACUCUAGAAAGAUCUCCAUUACGACAACCCGGGGACUAUAGUGAGAGAAAAGUGCAUUAGGAGAGUAAAUUGGGAAUUAGCCAUAUAUGCACUCCAAUGACUUUGAAAAUUCAUUUCCUUCCAUUCAACGAAUGGGACAAAGAUGAUAUAUAGCUGCUAAAAGAGUCAUUCUUCCAAUUGCCGCUUAGAUCACUAAUCUCAUGUACUAGUAUUUGAUUACCAUCAUAUAACAUACCUAUGCACCGUGGUCCCAUGGAGCACAUCUAUCCUUGAUUGCUACAUUCGAUCGGCGACGAUCUAAGCAACGACUGAAGGGACGACCUACACCAAUUCUUAUCAGGACUCUAAAAUCUUGACCAGUUCUAUUUGAAUUAUUCAAACAUGAUGAACGAGUUUGAUACAGGGGAUCAAAAAGUGCUCCCCUGGCUGCUUAUCGAAAUCCUUGUUUUAUUCUUCCACUGACCUGCUUUAUUGCAGUGCUAAUCUAAAUUUAGCAUAGCAUGCUCUCUUGGUUCAAUUUUAGUCCAUUUCAUGGACUCAAAGAUCAGACGGUCAUGCAGGACAACAAUCAAUGAGAUCCAUAGGAGACCCGUUCCUUGGAUGGUGGACCCAACACGGCAUGGUGGUGUACUAAAUCGCUCACGGGUCCACGUGUCUGACCAAUUCGGGAAGUUUGAUCCGGUCGUCCACGGUCUCUGAUGAGGCGCGUGGCGUGAGGGUGGAUGCGAGACACGGUGGACCGAUCCAUCAUCAUCAUGAUGGGAUCGGGUAUGGGGCCCUGAUCCCUCUAUAGCCGGACGUAAGGGCUACUACCGUACUAUCUCGAGCGAGAAAAUGAGACGGGAAAAUAACUCGGUAUAUCGCACGGAUCUAAAAGGUCGAACGGUGCGAGGCACGUGCGGAGGCCAGCUGGCAUGCGCUGGGCGGGCUGACUCGCUGCGGGCUCUGCGCAGACACGGACAGCCGGCUCUCACGUGAUGCGGCACGCGGUUUCUCUCGCGUCAGUGGUUGACUUUUCGGCCACGUGCGCUUGCACGCGUUAAACCAUGGGUGCAACUCGGGCUUGUUGAAGAACGAUAGCUUGCUUUGACGGAGCAGAAGCACCACCACGUUUAGGUUGAAUGCUUGUACUCCAUCAAAUCUAUCCCAACCGCUCAAAUUAUUCUUUACAACCAGGGGCGGCUCAAUACAUUCCGGGGCCUAAGGCGAAUCCAAUGAACGAUGCCUUUUUUUUAAUAAUAAUUUUUUUAAUAAAUAUAAAAUACUUAAAAAUAUAUAUGAAAAUAGAUAGCUAUCAAGUACACUAUUUCAACAAAGAGACAUGAAUCUAACAAAGAUAGACAAGAAGCCUUUUCAAUUUAAUAUAAUUCUUGAAUGGAAGCACAUAAAAGUAAUUACUCUAAAUGAAGGGCCAUGAAACUGAUUAAAUAACUGAGAUAAUGCUUGGCAAUGCUGUUUACCAUGUCAAGCAAGAGCCGAAUAGGAAAAGGUCAUCCCAUGGCACUUCAUGGUCAAGGUCAAGAAAAGAAUUUGUCCAUAAAGGAACCUCUCUAUAAGAGAAAGUAGGGUCAUUACGGAAAAUUCACUCCAUCUAAUUAAUAAAAGUCCCGUCCCACCAUCUCCCCUUCAAGUGAGUACCCAAGCAGCAACUGCAACAUCACAGCACGGCAGCCAUUCAACCCCCUCCCUCCGUUUCUCUCUCUACCACCCAAGAGGGGAGAAGAAACUGAGAGGAGAAAACUAAAAGAAUCUCCACCCUCCAAGAAGUCCAUCUCCAAUCCCCCUAUCUUUCUUCCGGAUGGCCCAGGUGGAUCAGGAGUAAUGUGAGGGAAGGAAAACCAAGACCAAAACCAAAAAAGAGAAGGGAUGAAAGAUAAGAGUGGCUUCAGGCGUCUAUCAAGCCAACCAAAUCCCUCCUCUCUCUCUCCCUCUCCCCACCCAAAACAAAACUACUGUCCCCAACAUCCCAAAUUGCCCCUCUG
rnacentral:lncRNA from 1 species